rnacentral:rRNA from 1 species
AUUGAACGCUGGCGGCAGGCCUAACACAUGCAAGUCGGACGGUAGCACAGAGGAGCUUGCUCCUCGGGUGACGAGUGGCGGACGGGUGAGUAAUGUCUGGGGAUCUGCCCGAUAGAGGGGGAUAACCACUGGAAACGGUGGCUAAUACCGCAUAACGUCGCAAGACCAAAGAGGGGGACCUUCGGGGCUGUCACUAUCGGAUGAACCCAGAUGGGAUUAGCUAGUAGGCGGGGUAACGGCCCACCUAGGCGACGAUCCCUAGCUGGUCUGAGAGGAUGACCAGCCACACUGGAACUGAGACACGGUCCAGACUCCUACGGGAGGCAGCAGUGGGGAAUAUUGCACAAUGGGCGCAAGCCUGAUGCAGCCAUGCCGCGUGUAUGAAGAAGGCCUUCGGGUUGUAAAGUACUUUCAGCGGGAGGAAGGCGAUGUGGUUAAUAACCGCAUUGAUUGACGUUACCCGCAGAAGAAGCACCGGCUAACUCCGUGCCAGCCGCCGCGGUAA